UGGUCAUUACCUAGGCUUUUAGAAUGCAGUUUCUCAUUUGCCAUGGACAUGACCAGAAAAGAAAUUUCGCAUUACGUUUUUUUCCUGCUACCUUGCUAGCAUUCAGCCUAUUGGGAACAUUU